rnacentral:rRNA from 1 species
UAGUAACUGCGAGUGAAGCGGGAAGAGCUCAAAUUUAAAAUCUGGUAGUUUUUAACUAUCCGAGUUGUAAUCUAGAGAAGUGUUAUCGGCGCUGGACCGUGUAUAAGUCUCCUGGAAUGGAGCGUCAUAGAGGGUGAGAAUCCCGUCUUUGACACGGACUGCCAGGGCUUUGUGAUACACUCUCAAAGAGUCGAGUUGUUUGGGAAUGCAGCUCAAAAUGGGUGGUAAAUUCCAUCUAAAGCUAAAUAUUGGCGAGAGACCGAUAGCGAACAAGUACCGUGAGGGAAAGAUGAAAAGAACUUUGGAAAGAGAGUUAAACAGUACGUGAAAUUGCUGAAAGGGAAACGCUUGAAGUCAGUCGCGUUGUCCAGGAAUCAACCUUGCUAUUGCUUGGUGUACUUUCUGAUCAAUGGGUCAACAUCAAUUUUGAUUAUUGGAAAAAAUUUAGAGGGAAUGUGGCAUCUUUGGAUGUGUUAUAGCCCUUUAUUUGUUAUACAAUGGUUGGGAUUGAGGAACUCAGCACGCCGCAAGGCCAGGUUUUUAUUAACUAUGUACGUGCUUAGGAUGUUGGCAAAAUGGCUUUAAUCGACCCGUCUUGAAACACGGACCAAGGAGUCUAACAUAUCUGCAAGUGUUUGGGUGGAAAACCCGAGUGCGUAAUGAAAGUGAAAGUUGAGAUCCUUGUCAUAGGGAGCAUCGACGCCCAGACCAGAACUUUUGUGACGGUUCUGCGGUAGAGCAUGUAUGUUGGGACCCGAAAGAUGGUGAACUAUGCCUGAAUAGGGUGAAGCCAGAGGAAACUCUGGUGGAGGCUCGUAGCGAUUCUGACGUGCAAAUCGAUCGUCAAAUUUGGGUAUAGGGGCGAAA